ACCGGGAUCAGUUCCUUUAGCGAGCGCCGCACCGGCACGAUCUCCAGCUCGCCCUCCUCCACCUCCAUGGGCUCUGGCUCGCCGCGCUCCAAACCGGAAUCCGCCUCAGGCGAAGGGAGCCCCAAGGCCGGCCCCGCCGGGGCCUCCGCCUUCACAGACACUCGCAGGCCGCGUACGGCCGCCAUCACUGCCUGCCGGCCGCACCACUGACAAUCCGCCCCGCACACCCGCCGACUAGAGCGCCGCCGCCACUGGCCACCGAGAAGUGCGGUCGUAACCCUAGAGCGUCGCCUGCUUCUGCCAGAAAGGAGCCCUUAGCGCCGCCGCCCCCCGGUGGCCGGAGGGAACCGGAAUGGCUUGGAGCGGGACCUGGGAUUUAGGAUGCCUCAGACCCUUCUAGAAAAGCAAGCCAAGCCUGCUGGUCCAGCUGGUGAGAAAGAACACAUCCAGUUUGUGUCCCACCCCAGCCAACUGAGCAGAUGGUAGAAGGCCCUGACAAAUGAGACACCAAGAACUCAGGCCACUGCCACAGCAGG